AUGUGCCUAUUAUUUAUUGAGCUCUACUAUUUACUCAUAGGGUGGCUUGAGUUCUUCAUUAAACACCUGUGCUUCUACCUUGAGGCACAAAAGCUUGGAUCAGAUGAAUGCUUUCACAUAGGUACAUCGACUAUGAAUACCAGCUUCCUAAGCCAGUAAGAGUUUCUGUUACGGUGUUACUGAACCAAUGUGGGAGACUCCUUUCAAAUGCCAUAAUUUGAAAGAUGUAAAUAUUUUUUCUUAAUGAUAGUUCUAGUAGAUCUCUGCAACAAAAAUCUUACUUUUCCCAAAUGUAAGUAUAUUGUUUACAUCCCUUGACUUCAUUCUCCUUCCCUGUUUUCACUUUAAAAAUGGUAAAUACUCAUAGAUAUCCGUUGCCCUUCCCACUCAAAUAGUUAUCCAGGUGAAAAUGCAGUAAUCCUCAUCCUUUGUGCAAUUCAAACUUUUUAGCUCUGCAUUGCAGGUAAUUAUUUUUUUCUUGCACUGAAUCUGAAUAUUGUCCCUUAACUGGAUUUUGCCACAUUGUCUGCAGUUAAUGAAAUUGAAUACAUUUUCACUGGAACCUGAUCUUUGUAAUAAAUAAAAUUCAUUUGAACCAGGAUCUACAAGGAGUCAUCAGCAGGACCCUGCAGACUACUAAACUUUUCUUCUGGUGUCUUAGCUGCCAAACCACAGGUCAUCUCACCUGUAUUUUUUCUUUGCUACCUUCAUAGCCCCACACACUCCUCAGUGCCACCCAUAUAGGAUUGCUACCAGGGUAACUUCCUCAGUGGCAGUAAUAAGGAUUGAAGGUGAGCUUUUUACUUGUGUUACAAUGGUGAAUUAGGAAUGACCUACUAAUUGGGUAAAUGCCAGUCUUCUGCACCUUCUUUGUAGAAGCCGAUGUCCUAGAACUCAGGUAAGGUUUUGAUCACCUUUCUUGUACACUCAAGCACUGGAGUGUCAGGAGUCCAUUUAUCAUUCCUCCUUUUACCACCAAAAUGUUCACAUUUGACACUUUCUUUUAGUUUUUUUUUCCCUCAGAAGCCUGAUGCAGAAGGGGUGCUGGCUUGCUUUUGUUACAUCAAAACCUGAUUACAGUAAUUAUGUGUUUAACAACCUCCCUGUGAGUAUAUACUGCAUCCUCAGAUGCCUUUGAAGUCUUCUGCUGGAGGUAGUUAUCCAUACCAGGUCAUUUCAGAACGCAGUUUGUCUGACAAAGUUGCUAGCUUCCACCAGUGUAAUGUUAAGUGUGGUGACGUGAGGUUUUAGCCGUACAUUGUCUAAGUGAAAUGUAGUUAGCAGAACUGAAAUGUAGUUUCUGCCAGUGCUUGCUUGUUUCAAAAGAUUGUGGACCCCAUCCCACGUCUUUAAUCCUGCAAGGAGCUCAGUACCAAUUAAAUAUUACCUGUGCUCUCUACUGCAGAUAAAAGAGAAGAGCAUAUUGCAUGCUCUAUGUUCCUGAUGAUCUCCAUAUUCCCUAAGUUUAUUUCUCUUGCAGACGGUGCUCUGAAAGCAGAAUAUAAUGAACUUUCCUGUGAAGUUGUAUUGACUUUUCAAAAUGUACUGUUCUGUUUUUAGGUGAUGAUGGAGCACUGUGUGCAGUCCUGGAUUUUUUAAUAACAUUUAAAUUCACUACACUUACCAGAGCUUUAAGUGAGUGGUGGAUGAAGAUUUGGUGCGAACCAAAGGACAAAAAACUGCAACUGUUGUUCAAAGUGCCUAUGCAAUCCAGAGUAAAUACAGUCAGUUUAAAGAUUCAGACAAGUCUUGGAUGUCAUAGUAUGGUAUUUAUUCUUAACAUGGCAUCCUGGUUUCACUCCAUGCCUCGGUUUCCUCAUUAGGAAGUGGAUGCAACACAGGGGUAUAGUGGCACUGAGCACUCUUGCUUAAUAGACCUGAAAUGAAGCUGCUGCUUUAACUUCUUUCCUACAAAGCUGAAAGUGCUAGCAGGGAAAAGCACUGAUUAAAAGCUUGGUGUAGCCUGCUAUCAAACGUGUGAGUGGGAAAAUGACAGUGCUCUAAGAGCAGGCCACUGCGGGUGUCUCUGCUCAGCAGUUGUCAGCUCUGCAUUAGUGACAGUGGGGGAUUGGGAGUGGUGACUAUUUCCUUUUGAAUCUGCCCCUGAACAUGCUGGCUUUUCUAUUCUUAAUGUCAGCUACAGUGCAUAGGGUGGUGAUGAUGCUCUGCCCAUAAGGAUAGUCACAGUAUGGGUGUGGGUCUUUUCACAGAGCUUUGCAAGGGACUCACUGGAUUCCAGUAUGCUGGUGUCCUGUGGUUUCUCUGUCUGACAGCCUCACAUCAGGGAAAAAAUAGACAAGUGGAGUCAGUGAGCUGAAACAGGCACAUCACCAACAGCUGCCUCUACUCUCAAGGAAAUCUGGAGAAGGUCCUUAGGUGCUCUGUGCUGUCUGGGUCACAGCUCUUUUUCUUGAAGUUUGCUCUGACAGAACAUGAUCUUCAGGAACAUUGCAGGUUUUCAUUUUGCCUUUUCUUGCACCUUUUCAUGAGGUGCUAAUGGACCGAAAUGCAAUCAUUAAACCUUGAUAGUUUUUCCUUUUCACCCACAGUACUUUGAAAGCAAAUUGGUUACUAAAAAUGUGCUUGGAUAAGUGAAGGAUAUACAGAAAAGUUGAAGAGAGAUCCCAAGAUAUUGUAUGGCCUGUAGAGGACAGUGGUUAUUUACAAGUGUCUUUGGAGCAGGCUUCUGGACUAGUGUUGGUUGCUUUGCAAGCCAGACAGGCACAUAAGAACAGAUUGCCCAGAUGAUUUUGCAAUGAGGCAUAGUGUAAGUAACAUCUGGGGCAGCAAGGAAGAGAACUGUAAAGGGGAAUGAAGGUUACCUCUAAGAUAUUGUUCAGGUAGGUCCACAGCUUGAUGGCUUACUCACUUGGAUACAAAUGCAUCCACCUAAGUGUGCAUAAAGUCUUAUUACUUUUUUAAUGCGUCAGUUUAGAAGUAAGCCCAAGAAUUCUAAGGUCAAUUAUUUGUAUUUUUUAUUACUCUAGGAAAUAAAUAAAAUGUCUGCCAAUGUCAUUGGGGUACCAUUUUAUUGACUAUAAAGGUGGAGUGAUAUAGGAUCAGCAAGUGGGUGAUAAUUUUUGGCAACACGGGCUUGCAGUCACCUGGGAAAGGAGUUUACUACUGACAGAAUUUUUAUUAUGCUGGCUGUAAGUUUAUUAAGCACUAUACUGAGUAAUUUCUGUCAGCAUAUUGCAUCAUUUUCUGAGCCAUAUAAUAAUAUUGCUUUGAACUUCUACAGUGCCUUCCAUUUCUGUAGCUUCCUAAGAAGUUAUACCCAUGUUAAUUGCCAUGGCACCUCAGAGAGAAAAAGAAAUGUUCUCCUCCUCCUGGGAUAAUCAGUAUUACUUUUAACACUGAAAGUGAAGGGAAAUGAAAGGCUCAAAAUCAAUCUGAAAGUUAGUCAGGGCUGGGCUUACAAAGGAAGAACAUGUGUUUUAGCUGUUAGACUGAGGUCUCAAAGCAGCUGGUCUUGGCCAGGCUUCCUGAAUGAGUGUUAGUAACCCCCUUUUGCCUCAGUUCUGCAGAUGUGGCUGUAU